AUGGAAAUAUGCGGUGAUAAAGGGAUAUUUAUCUUUGCCAGAUUUGGUGGUGUCGGGAACGUGGGGCGCAGUGCGAGCCAUCGUCUCCUGCCCCCACAUGUAUGUGUACCGCUCCACCAUGUCGCUGUGAUUCAAGGCCGGCGCAAAGACAAUAUUAUCCCUCCGCAGCGCCGCCAUCUCCUUCUUCCUCGCUUCCGCUUCCGGGUUGACUACCUUCUCCAGCUUAUCUUGGCCCUUCUUGGGUGCCAUGAUUGCUUUGCGGAGGGCAGAUUUGCGAGCGAGCGAGGGCGUGACACGGCGGCAGAAGAACCUGCGCUCUGUUCUUGCGCAAGGUUGAAGACGAUUGGAGGCGAAUUACUAGAUUGGAACAGAAGGGGUAAAUGA
rnacentral:rRNA from 1 species